rnacentral:rRNA from 1 species
ACUCCUACGGGAGGCAGCAGUGGGGAAUUUUGGACAAUGGGCGAAAGCCUGAUCCAGCAAUGCCGCGUGAGUGAAGAAGGCCUUCGGGUUGUAAAGCUCUUUUGUCAGGGAAGAAACGGUGAGAGCUAAUAUCUUUUGCUAAUGACGGUACCUGAAGAAUAAGCACCGGCUAACUACGUGCCAGCAGCCGCGGUAAUACGUAGGGUGCAAGCGUUAAUCGGAAUUACUGGGCGUAAAGCGUGCGCAGGCGGUUUUGUAAGUCUGAUGUGAAAUCCCCGGGCUCAACCUGGGAAUUGCAUUGGAGACUGCAAGGCUAGAAUCUGGCAGAGGGGGGUAGAAUUCCACGUGUAGUAGUGAAAUGCGUAGAUAUGUGGAGGAACACCGAUGGCGAAGGCAGCCCCCUGGGUCAAGAUUGACGCUCAUGCACGAAAGCGUGGGGAGCAAACAGGAUUAGAAACCCCGGUAGUCCCAUG